UGAGAUAGUGCCACUGCACUCCAGUCUUAGAGCCAGAGCCAGACUUUGUGUCAAAAAUAAUAAUAAUAAUACUUGAAACUCAUAAUUACUCUUGAAUCCAUGGGCUGCAGAAUGGAUUUGGGCUAGCAGGCAUAUGAGAACAACAAUUAUCUUCUUGUACAUCAGAGCUCUUGGGUGAUCAGGUUCAUUGUCAAUGAGCAGUAAUAUCUCAACAGUGGACUUAAAAUGUUCAGUAAACUAUGCUCUUUCCAAGUUUUGUGGUUCCAUUUACCAAGCACAGGCAGAGUAGACUUAGCAUAAUUCUUAAGGGCCCUAGGAUUUUCAGAAUGAUUAAUGAGCAUUGGCUUCAAGUUAAGGUCACAAGCUACGUUUGCCCUUAAGAAAAGAGUCUGCCUAUCUUUUGAAGCUUGAAGCUAGGCAUUGACAUCUCCAGCUAUGAAAGUCCUAGAUGAUAUCUUCUUCCAACAGAAGACUGUUUUUCUACAGUGAAAACUUAUUAUUUAGUGUAGCCACCUUCAUCAAUUACCCAGCUAGAUUUCUGGAUAACUUGCUGCAGCUUCUCCGUAAGCACUUUCUGUUUUACCUUGCACUUUUAUGUUAUGAAGAUGGCUUCUUAAGCACGAACCCACCUCUGCUAGCUUCCAGCUUUUUUCUUCUGCAGCCGUCAUAGAAUUCUCUCUCAGCCUUCAUAGAAUUGAAGAGAGGGCCUUGCUCUGGAAUAGGCUUCAGCUUAAGGGAAUGUUGUGGCUGGUUUAAUCAUCUCUAUCCAGACCAUUCACACUUUUUCUAUAUCAGCAAUAAAGCUGUUUCACUUCCUUAUCACUCAUGUGUUUGCUGGAAUAGCACUUUUAAUUUCCUUCAUGAACUUUUCCUUUGCAAUCACAACUUGGCUAACUACUUGGAGCAAGAGGGCUAGCUUUCAACCUAUUUCAGCUUUCCACAUACCUUCCUCGCUAAGCCUAAUUAUUUCUAGCUUUUCACUUAAAGUGAGAGUCAUGUGCCUCUUCCUUUCACUUGAAUACUUAGAGGUUAUUAGAGUGUUAUUAAUUGGUCUAAUUUCAAUAUUGUUGUUUCUCAGGGAAUAGGGAGGCCUGAAGCCUUUAUUGAUUAAAUUAUUGUCUUAUAUGGUUGUGGUUUGUGGUGCCCCAAAACAAUUACACUAGUAUCAUCAAAUAUUAUGAUCACAUAUCCCCAGAAUAGUUAUAGUAAUAAUGACAAAGCUUUAAAUAACACAAGAAUUACCAAAAUGUAACACAGAGACACAAGGUGAGCACAUGCUGUUGGGAAAAUUGUGCUGAUAGACUUGCUUGAUGCAGGGUUGCCACAAACCUUCAAUUUGUAAAAAACUCAUUAUCUGAGAAGCACAAGAUAGCAGAGCACAAUAAAGCGAGGAGUGUCUAUAUAUCCAGAAUCCAAGCACUUCACCCCAUUCUCACCACAAGCAGCCUGGGCCAGGCUACUGUUACUUCCUGGAUCGUUCCUCUCACCCACUAACUCGUAUCCCAGCUUCUGAUCUUGCCCCUCUCCAGUCUAUUCCCAACAUAGCAGCCAGGAUGAUACUUUUGAAAUGGAAAACAGGUCAUGUCAGCUCCUCUGACUAAAUACUUACAUUUUCUCAGAAUAGAAGUCAAAACAUUUUAAUAACCAAAAGGUUCUUCAGAAUCGCUCCUGCCACCAACCCCUCUGAAAACUUCCCUACAGUGGAAUGCUUAUUUCUCUAACAGCCCAGGCCAAUUCAGCCUUAGGGCCUUUGCCCUCGCAAUUCCCACACCUGGAAUACUUGUCUCCUAAGUAGCAACUGGGCUCACUUAACCAUGUUUUUAAUCAUUCUUUUUUUUUUUUUUUUUUAGUUUCUCUCUCACUUAGGUCUCUGCUAAAAGUCAUUUUUCAGUGAUGUCUUCCCUGACCACCAUUGUAAAAUAACAACCCCCCACUCUUUCCCAGCCUUCUUAUUUUUUAUAAGGUGUUUGUUUUUCCAUCUGACCCACUAUGUACUUGAACUGUUUAUCUGUCCUCUCUUAUAAGAUCACAAGCCCAUGAGGAAAGGUCCAUGCCUUGUUUUGUUCACUGUUGUAUCCUCAGCACUUACAACAAUGCCUUGCACAUAGUAGGCUUUCAAGAGUUGGGAAAUGCAUGCACUGAAUAAAGGGAUUGUUGAAUUAAUAAAUAGCAAUUUUAGGAAAUGAUAGCUAAAAGAAUACAAUAGUAAUACAAGGGUCUGUUUAUAAAUUGUUAAUUUGCUUUCAGGAGCUAUCCAAACACCAUGCAGAUGCUCCUAGGAUUCUUAAACAAGCCAAAAAUAAUUCCAGUCAUUGUCAGAUAUAGGAUAAGUGCAUGAGGACAGGUAAGUCAACCCAGGACUGUAACACUGGGGAAUAGAUAACCCUGGAGUACAAGGGGCAAGACUCCUGUCUCAGAAGCCUUGAGUUGGUACUCCAGGCUCCAGGAACACAGGGUUUCAUUGCAGGAGCUUGAACAAGGAGAGGAAUCAAGACCCCAGCUCGUAGAAAUGGAACCAGUUUAGGAGGCACUGCAGUUAAGGUCAACUGGAUGCCUUACCUCCAUGCUGCUGGUUUUCCGUGGCACAGCCCAUGCCCAUGAAUGUAAUUAACCCCAUAGAAUGGGAAAACUUUGAGUCUUUAGAUGGGAGCUAAUUAGUUCUGGUUUGGACUUGGAAAAGGAGAAAGUAGAAAUUAAGAUUCAUUCUGACCUUGUCCAACUUCAAGGUGCUUUAUUGAUGUGGCACUCAAGAAUAGUACCACCCUCAGUUACUUCUAGUUCUCCUACUUUUCUAAACCUUCCUUCAUAAUUUCCUCCGUCACUUUAUCGUUAUGUAUUCUUUACGUGCGAGAGCUCCUUAGGUUUAUGUUUCUGGUCCUUUUCUAUAUUUCUACCUACUUUUUCUAGAUGAAUUUAUUAUCAUGUUUUCAAACAUCAUCUAAAUGCUAAUGUCUUCCGAAUCCAUCUCUUUAGCCUCGUGGUCAAAAUCAUAUUUCCAACUGCCUAUUUAACACUUUGACCUGGGUGUCCUUCAGCCACAUCAAUUCAAUGUGUCUAUACCUGCAUUCAACAUCUUCCCCAAAAUCUGCUUCUAUUUUGCUGCUUGUCUUGACUGACGUCAUCAUCACACAACCAGUUUCUCAAGCUGACACAUGAGUCAUCCUCUUCCUUCAUCUCUCUCACUCUCCAAAAACAAUUGGCAACCAUGCUCUGUCAAUUAUACUGCAGAAAUGUUGCUCAAAUGUAAUUCCUUCUUGCAUCUCCGCAUUCCCCUUGCCUUUCACGUACCUAGAACACAAGUGCCUAGUAUUUGUUGAUUAGUAAUUGCCCAAUGAAUGCUGUAAGAAGAAAAGAUGAAGAAAAGGAGAAAACAAGCAUUAGUCACAGUAGCGAAGACACAGAAACAACCUAAGUGUUCACCAACAGAUGAGUGAGUAAAGCAAAUGUAGCAUAUAUACACAGUGGAAUACUAUUCAGCCUUAAAAAAGAAGGAAAUUUGGCUAUCUGCAACAACAUGGAUGAACCUGGAGGAUAUUAUAGAAGUGAAAUAAGCCAGGCACGGAAAGGUAAAAACUAUAUGUUCUCACUUAUAUGUGGAAUCUAACACAAUCAAAUUCAUGGAAGCUGGGAAUAGAAUGGUGGUUACUGAGGCCAGGGGCUGGGAGAACAGGGAGAUGUUGGUCAAAGGGUACAAAGUUGCAGUUAGAUUUAAAAUCAUGUAAGUAUUUAAGCUGAUGGAUAUGUUAACUAGCUUGAUUUAGUCAUUCAACUCUGUAUACAUGUAACAUCACUGUGUGUUCAAUAGUAAUAUACAAUUAUAAUAUCAAAAAAUAAAACUUUUUUUGUUAAAGCAACAGUCCUUGCUUCUACUAAAAGUUAAGGAGUGGAAGGGAUAAUCCUUCAAGUCUUCAAAGUGACACCUAGCUACAUGAAUGACAAUUGGUAGUACAGACCUCAGAGCAAAAGCAUCUUAUUUUCAAAAUAACAUAUCCCACUGAAAUUCAGAGAUAUUCCUCACAUAUGCUUAGUCAUUUUUCUCCUAUAGUAAGAAUGAGGCCUGGCAGUAUAUAUUGGAUAUAUUAUACUUUUUCCACAUUGUGGAAAGCUAACCGCGUCAAUUGAUAAAUUAUUCUAGGCAGAGAAAAGUGAUGCAUCUUGACUAAAUAUUAAAUAUGUAGACUUUAAGUAGAUGAAGAGCAUUGCAUCUAUCAAAUUUGACCUUAAUUUGUUUAGAAUCUUAGAAGAUUCAACAUUUUAAAUGUUUGUUUUGGAAGCUGUGAAUGUUCAGUUAAAAAGAAAUAUCAUGAAGCUUAAAUGGUAGCAGGCAUUAUGACCAACCUUUGUGCAAGGAUUGAUUAAAUGUAAAGACAAGAGAGGAAAAACAUUCGGAGGGAAGAGGGAUAUUUGAUUUUAGUCCUAGUUAGUGCUUCAUUGUCAGUGCUAGCAAUUCACUUUUGCUGUCUCCUUUUUUUCAUUGGACUUGAGAAAGGAUUAUAGAACUUUAUGUCACCUCACAUCCAAAAUUCAUUUAUAGUGUAAGCCAUUGUACUAACAUUGGAGUACAUAAUUCAUAACAAUAAGAAAAAACAUAGACUUCAAUUUUCAAUAGAAAAAAAAUAGACAAACUGGUACAGAGAAUAAGAAACUCUUAAGAUUGUCAUAAGGACAUAAAUCGUAUAUAUGAAAAUACCAUUGUUUGUAGGCCCACAGUUGAUGCAUAUUCAUCCCAUAUUAAGAGAUAGGGAGGAGCAAUAUGAUGGACACACCAGAGCUAGAGUCAGAGACCUGGCUUUUAGUCCAACUUCCUCUGUUACUAUGUAACUUUGGCAAUUAAACUUUGGGAACCUCAGUAUUCUCAUCUGUGAAGGUAAAGACAAACAUUACCUGUGAAGCGGGGGCUAUGGUGAUGAUAAUUAGCAAUAUUUUAAAUAGAGAGUCUUCUACAGUGUUUGACACAAAAUAGAUGUUUAAACAAACUAACAAAACACCUUAGCUGUCAUCUACUAUGCAGUUCAAGGUAAAGAGCAGAUGAGAAAGCCAGCUUGAACACAGUGGUAGUCCUGGAGAAUGGAUAACCAAAGCAAAAACAAAGCAAAACAGUUACCAGACAACAUGGGGGCUGGUAAUGGCAGUGAAAUCCUGGAUUGCUAGCAGUGGAAGGAGAUAUCCAAAUAAAAAA